rnacentral:rRNA from 1 species
UACGGGGGGAGCAAGCGUUGUUCGGAUUUACUGGGCGUAAAGGGCGCGUAGGCGGCCAGCACAAGUCAGUUGUGAAAUCUCCGAGCCUAACUCGGAAAGGUCAACUGAUACUGUGCGGCUAGAGUGCAGAAGGGGCAACUGGAAUUCUUGGUGUAGCGGUGAAAUGCGUAGAUAUCAAGAGGAACACCUGCGGCGAAGGCGGGUUGCUGGGCUGACACUGACGCUGAGGCGCGAAAGCUAGGGGAGCGAACGGG